rnacentral:rRNA from 1 species
UACAGAGGUCCCAAGCGUUUGUUCGGAUUUACUGGGCGUAAAGGGCGCGUAGGCGGUCAGCACAAGUCAGUUGUGAAAUCUCCGGGCUUAACUCGGAAAGGUCAACUGAUACUGUGCGACUAGAGUGCAGAAGGGGCAACUGGAAUUCUCGGUGUAGCGGUGAAAUGCGUAGAUAUCGAGAGGAACACCUGCGGCGAAGGCGGGUUGCUGGGCUGACACUGACGCUGAUGCGCGAAAGCCAGGGGAGCGAACGGG